rnacentral:rRNA from 1 species
UCGGGAAUUUUGGGCAAUGGGCGAAAGCCUGACCCAGCAACGCCGCGCGAAGGAUGAAGUAUUUCGGUAUGUAAACUUCGAAAGAAUAGGAAGAAUAAAUGACGGUACUAUUUAUAAGGUCCGGCUAACUACGUGCCAGCAGCCGCGGUAAUACGUAGGGACCAAGCGUUGUUCGGAUUUACUGGGCGUAAAGGGCGCGUAGGCGGCAAUUCAAGUCAUCUGUGAAAUCUCCGGGCUUAACUCGGAACGGUCAGAUGAUACUGCUUUGCUAGAGUGCAGAAGGGGCAAUCGGAAUUCUUGGUGUAGCGAUGAAAUGCGUAGAUAUCAAGAGGAACACCUGAGGUGAAGACGGGUUGCUGGGCUGACACUGACGCUGAGGCGCGAAAGCCAGGGGAGCAAACGGGAUUAGAUACCCACGUAGUCCCUGAGCGGGCUGGCAAGGCGCAU